AAUGUCGUAACAAGGGUUUCCGUAGGUGAACCUGCGGAAGGAUCAUUAAAUGAGAUAGGGUUCUCACGAGCCCGACCUCCAACCCUUUGUCUACCAAAGCCUCUGUUGCCUCGGCGGGCCGUCGGCUCCUUUAACUAGGCGCCGCCGUCGGCCUCUGCGCUCUCGAGUGCCCGGCCGCAGGACUAUACAAAAAGCUCUUUUGGAACGAGUAUAACUGAGUGGAAUUUAAUGCUUCAAUUAAAAC
rnacentral:misc_RNA from 1 species